rnacentral:rRNA from 1 species
AGAGUUUGAUCCUGGCUCAGGACGAACGCUGGCGGCGUGCUUAACACAUGCAAGUCGAACGGAAAGGCCCUUCGGGGUACUCGAGUGGCGAACGGGUGAGUAACACGUGGGUGAUCUGCCCUGCACUUUGGGAUAAGCCUGGGAAACUGGGUCUAAUACCGAAUAUGACCAUGCACUUCCUGGUGUGUGGUGGAAAGCUUUUGCGGUGUGGGAUGGGCCCGCGGCCUAUCAGCUUGUUGGUGGGGUAAUGGCCUACCAAGGCGACGACGGGUAGCCGGCCUGAGAGGGUGACCGGCCACACUGGGACUGAGAUACGGCCCAGACUCCUACGGGAGGCAGCAGUGGGGAAUAUUGCACAAUGGGCGCAAGCCUGAUGCAGCGACGCCGUGUGAGGGAUGACGGCCUUCGGGUUGUAAACCUCUUUCAGCACAGACGAAGCGCAAGUGACGGUAUGUGCAGAAGAAGGACCGGCCAACUACGUGCCAGCAGCCGCGGUAAUACGUAGGGUCCGAGCGUUGUCCGGAAUUACUGGGCGUAAAGAGCUCGUAGGUGGUUUGUCGCGUUGUUCGUGAAAACUCACAGCUUAACUGUGGGCGUGCGGGCGAUACGGGCAGACUUGAGUACUGCAGGGGAGACUGGAAUUCCUGGUGUAGCGGUGGAAUGCGCAGAUAUCAGGAGGAACACCGGUGGCGAAGGCGGGUCCCUGGGCAGUAACUGACGCUGAGGAGCGAAAGCGUGGGGAGCGAACAGGAUUAGAUACCCUGGUAGUCC